UUUUUUAAUUAAAGGCUUGUAUGAAUGGUUAAAUGAGGUGUAUACUGUUUCAUAAAAAAUUAUUGAAUUUUUUUUUUUAGUAAAAAAACUAAAAUUUUUUAGAAAGACGAGAAGACCCUAUAGAUCUUUAUAAAAUUAUAAUUUUUAAAUAUUAUUUAAUUUUAUUUUUAAGUUAUUAUUUUAUUUUAUUGGGGUGAUAAUUAUAUUUUUUUAACUAUUUAUUAAAUUAUUCAAUAAUUAUUGAUUUUUUGAUCCAUUUUUAAUGAUUAAUAAAUUAAGUUACCUUAGGGAUAACAGCGUAAUAUUUUUUAAAAGUUCUUAUUAUAGAAAAAGAUUGC
rnacentral:rRNA from 1 species